GACAGAGGGUGCAAGCGUUGUUCGGAAUUAUUGGGCGUAAAGGGCGCGUAGGUGGCCGCGUAAGUCAACUGUGAAAGCCCCGGGCUCAACCUGGGAAUGGCAAUGGAUACUGGCAAGCUAGAGUGCGGUAGAGGGUAGUGGAAUUCCCGGUGUAGCGGUGAAAUGCGUAGAGAUCGGGAGGAACACCUGUGGCGAAGGCGGCCCCCUGGGCCGCACCUGACGCUGAGACGCGAAGGCGUGGGGAGCGAACGGG
rnacentral:rRNA from 1 species